GAUGAAGAACGUAGCGAAAUGCGAUAAGUAAUGUGAAUUGCAGAAUUCAGUGAAUCAUCGAAUCUUUGAACGCAUCUUGCGCUCCUUGGUAUUCCUUGGAGCAUGCCUGUUUGAGUAUCAUGAGCAAACCUCAAAGUCAAUUCCUUUUGUUAAUUCAAUUGGUUUUGCUUUGGACUUGGAGGUCUUGCAGAUUUCACAGUCUGCUCCUCUUAAAUGCAUUAGCUGGAUCUCAGUAAUUAUGCUUGGUUCCACUCGGCGUGAUAAGUAUCACUCGCUGAGGACACUGUUAAAAAGGUGGCCAGGAAAAUACUGAUUGAACCGCUUCUAACGGUCUAUUAAGUUAGUCAAUUACCCUUAAGUUUGAUCUCAAAUCAGGUAGGACUACCCGCUGAACUUAAGCAUAUCAAUAAGCGGAGGA
rnacentral:misc_RNA from 1 species